CCAGCCUCUUCCCACUCGCUCACAAACGCUCCCGUAUUUCCUCCCGGCCCCAAGAGAAUGGUUCCGAGCUGUGCGGUAGGGCAGGGCCGCCAGGGACCGGGCCUGCGGGGCUCCCGGGCCUUUCAAAGCCUCUUGGAAGCUGGGCUGCGGCGCAGGGGCGGCCCGAGGCGCUGGGGCCCGGGCCAGGAGAAGGGGACGGGACGGGCCUGCCUGUGGUGCCUAGAAAUCAAAGCAGCCAACCUUGGGCUUUUUCUUCCCCUCACACUGAGGCACUUUUAUUGGCGAGAUGAAGGGAGGCAGAGCGGGCCUACAGUCCUCGCUUUGCUUUGGGAGGUUAAUGACCCAGUUAGCAGCUCUUGGCUGCGUUUCCGACAUUUUGCAGACAUCAAGCUCUGCGCCUCUGCCAAGUACAUUCUGUUCCCUGGAGCUCAUCCAGUGCAUCUCAGAUUACUAUGUAAUGCGACGAAGAGGGAGAGGUGGCUGGGCGGGGCGGAGAGCGGGCGGAGAGCGGGCGGGGGUGCGGGCUGCGGGCCGGCAGGCGGGGAGGGGGAUGCCGCCCUAAAUACAGCCGCCCUCCUGCGAGCGCAUCCCUGCAGGUGCUUAUUUAUGGCACCGGAGCGAACCCGAAGUGGGGGUUCGCCGGGCCCUGUCGUCCAGGAAUCCUGCGGGGUGGUGCGCCGAGCUCGGCCCAGACCCGGCCGGGACAGAGCGUGGGGGCGGGGAGGGCCGGAGAGGAGAGGGAGCUGGAAUUCGAGGGGCGGGGCUAGCGUGUCUUGGGGCGGGGUUAUGGGCUCUCGGCCCCGCCCCCAGGCCAUCUCCUCCAGUCCUCUAGGAGCUGCAGCCUGCGCGCUAAUUAUAGACGUGAAUGGAAAGCGGCGGCUUUUGAAUGAUUGCAUUGCUCGCGCUGCCUUUGGAGGCUGAGGAGCAGAUGGAGAAACUGAGGCUGGGGUAGCUCCUGGGGCAGGCCCUGGCCCAUGUGUGAGUCGUUGCAGCGAAGCUCAGAUCUCCGGAGGGACAGCCUCUCCAUUUGCCUUACCAGAAAAAAUGAGACAUGAAGAAAAUAAAGGAAAAUGUUACCAUCUGUUAAUCUAAUGAGCGGACCAUCACA
rnacentral:lncRNA from 1 species